CCGGGCGGGGCGGGGGCGGCGGAGAACGCCGGGCUCUCCCUGUGCCUGCUGCCGCUCCAGCGGUCGUCUUCGCCCCGCCGGACGAGGUGUUAUCAUUUCAAGAAAUGCUGUGACCUGUUUGAAUAACAUCAUUCACUGAAACUUUUGUGAUAGUGAUUUGUUUUUUUUUCAUUAGAAUGGCUUUGAAAAAAGCACCUAAAGUAUUCAAGAAAAUUUUUCAGUGGAAACUCUGGAAGUUUAGCAUUAUUGUGUUAGUCUUUCUGGUAUUUUUGUUUUUAUUGCAAAGAGAAGUGGGUGUUCAAGAUUUUAAAGAUGAAACUGGGAUUGAGCCAGCCGUUGGAAAGAAAAGCCAUGUGUUUGGUCUUGUAUUAAAUGCUAUGAACAAUAUCAAAGGUGCAAAGCCAAAAAUGCAAAUAAAAGCACCCCUUAGGCAAACUAAAAUUUCUGGAGAGAGACGCUGCUUGCCAGGGCACUACACUGCAGUGGAACUAAAACCCUUUCUAGAUCGACCUCCUCAAGAUCCUAAUGCUCCUGGAGCUUCUGGUAAAGCUUUUAAAACCAUCAACUUGAGUUCAGAAGAGCAGAAAGAGAAACAGCGCGGAGAAGAAAAACACUGCUUUAAUGCGUUUGCGAGUGAUAGGAUUUCUUUACACCGUGACCUUGGACCAGACACUCGACCUCCUGAAUGUAUUGAACAGAAGUUUAAGCGUUGCCCACCGUUGCCAACCACAAGUAUUAUAAUAGUUUUUCAUAAUGAAGCCUGGUCCACUCUGCUGAGAACUGUUCACAGUGUGAUGUAUACAUCUCCUGCCAUACUGCUAAAGGAGAUUAUUUUGGUGGAUGAUGCCAGUGUAGAUGAAUACUUGCAUGAUAAACUAGAUGAAUACGUGAAACAGUUUCAAAUAGUUAAAGUAGUCCGCCAGAAGGAAAGAAAAGGUCUCAUCACUGCGCGGUUGUUGGGAGCUUCAGUAGCAACAGGAGAAACCCUUACCUUUCUGGAUGCUCACUGUGAAUGCUUUUAUGGCUGGUUAGAGCCAUUAUUGGCAAGAAUAGCUGAGAACCCUGUCGCUGUUGUAAGUCCUGAUAUUGCUUCUAUAGAUCUCAAUACUUUUGAAUUUAGUAAACCUUCCCCCUAUGGGCAUAGCCACAACAGAGGAAAUUUUGAUUGGAGUUUGUCAUUUGGAUGGGAGUCUCUUCCUAAGCAGGAACGUGAAAGAAGAAAAGAUGAAACCUAUCCAAUUAGAACACCUACUUUUGCUGGAGGUCUCUUCUCAAUAUCCAAAGACUACUUUGAACACAUUGGAAGCUAUGAUGAAGAAAUGGAAAUCUGGGGAGGUGAAAAUAUAGAAAUGUCUUUCAGAGUAUGGCAAUGUGGUGGACAGUUGGAGAUCAUGCCUUGCUCUGUUGUUGGCCAUGUCUUUCGCAGCAAGAGUCCUCAUACUUUCCCAAAAGGUACUCAAGUGAUCACACGUAAUCAAGUCCGCCUUGCAGAAGUGUGGAUGGAUGAAUAUAAAGAAAUAUUUUACAGAAGAAACACAGAAGCUGCAAAAAUUGUGAAACAAAAAACAUUUGGGGAUAUAUCAAAAAGACUUGAUUUAAGACAACGUCUGCAGUGUAAAAAUUUUACCUGGUAUCUCAAUAAUGUUUAUCCAGAAGUAUAUGUGCCAGACUUGAAUCCUUUGUUUUCUGGAUAUCUACAAAAUAUAGGCAACCACAUGUGUCUGGAUGUUGGUGAAAAUAACCAUGGUGGCAAACCAUUGAUCAUGUACUCCUGUCACGGCCUUGGAGGAAAUCAGUACUUUGAAUAUUCUGCACACCAUGAAAUUCGACAUAACAUUCAGAAGGAGCUUUGUCUGCAUGCCACUAAAGGACCUGUGCAGCUUCAUGAGUGUAACUACAAAGGCCAGAAAACCCUUACCAUUGGAGAAGAGCAAUGGCUGCAUCAAAAGGAUCAGACUCUGUACAAUGCAGCACUACAUAUGUGCCUUACAGGAAACGGAGACCAUCCGAGUUUGGUACCCUGUAACCCAUCAGACUCCUUCCAGAAAUGGAUCUUUGGCCAGAACAAUUAAAGUUUGAUAUUUAUAGACCGGGAAUGUUUUAUUAAGAGAUUCUAAACUGUGAUCAUCUAUGUAAACAACAUUUUAAAGUGAUAAUCCUUUAAAUGACAAAUGUUUCAGUGUUUGUUUUUCCCUUUUAUUUAAGCUGGAUGUAAAACGUGUCAUCAGAGAUUCCCUAGGAGUCUUUUAUACCAAAGCUGACUGAGGUUGAAGAAAAAUGUUUACAGUAUUUCCAUGCUAAGACUUUAUAUGUUGAGCACUGAUUUGUGGAUCAUUGGCUCUCUCUCACCUUGGGGACUCUGUGUAUAUUGUUGUUCCACAGAUUGUAAGUACUUCUGAAGAGGACUAGUUUUCUUUGUAUAGCUACAAGAAAUUACUGUAUACUGCCUAAAACCCAAGGCACUCUGUAUGUAUAUUUUUAUGCUCAGUUGGUUGAUUUUUUUUUUGGUGUGUUUUAAUCAUGUACUUAGUGAAGAUCUCUCAGUGUUUUUAAGUUCCUUCACUUGAAAAAUGAGAAUAAUUAACUUUCAGGCCAAAGCCAAAUAGGUUUACCACACUGUGCUCAGCUUCUAGCAACAAGUUUUGUAGAAAAAAAUAAUCAUUCUCACUGAAAUAUGGAAGUAUGAUGAUUAUAAUGGAAAAAUCUGCUUCUUCUCAUGUUUAACUUCCUUUUGUUUACCUGGAAAUUUAGUAUACAUUUAUAUUAAUUUUUAAAUGUGACAAAGUUCUGUUGUAUUAGAUUUUUCUGAAGGACUUUUGUUAAGCUACCAGAUGAACCUUUUGCCUACCUUUGCAUGAAUCACUAAUGUUUGCUUAACAGCUUUCUUUUCUUGACAUAGUUUCCUGUGUGAACAUUUGCAUGCUGGUUUUCUUUCUUCUCUUUUCUUCUUGUUGUUGUUUCACUUUGACAAAGGAUUUACCUCUGUGUUUAUCAGUCCAAGUAAGAUCUUGGCCUUCCUAACUAUUCUGUUAGGUCUUUUCAUGAAAUACGGUGUUCUUGCAAGCAUCCACAAGGAUACUUCAGUAGACCAUGCAGAGCUAUGACUUCUUAAAUAGCUUUCCUUUGAUAAGUACUUUUAGCUAUUUCUUGGGUUAUUUUACUGGGUGCAUAGUUGUUAAACAGCCUCCACUUAGUCUUCCAUUGCAAUCACCAAUCAUGGACCAUUCUCUGACUGUGAUUUUUCUCAGGCCUUCUUUAAGGUAACUCUUCUGUAUAGGAAAUGUGAUCUUCAGGAACAGAAGUGUAUGCACACUUGAAAAUGUCCACUUCAGGGUAUGAAUAUGAGAUUGAUGACCAUCCCACCUUUAAGGCAUCUAAGGUCACAUAAAAUUGCACUUUAGUAAGUAUUGGAGUACAAAGCCAAGAUCAAACCCAAUAUUGGAAGGGCAGUGGAUUCACUUGACAAGCUGCAGGAGUUGAGACAAAGUAGGCUGCAGGUCCACAUGAAAACUCUUCACCAGAUCUGAACGGAGGAUGAGGAUUACAUAGCAGGUAUGCCAGGAUGACUCCCAGGAAUGACACUGAACAUCAUUUCACUCGGUUUCCAAGGUAUUUAGCAUAAUCCUUUAAUAGGACUUGUGUUCUUCAGGUCUUAGUUCCUGUUUUACAGCAAAAGCUUUUGUUUUUUUAAAGUAUCACUAAAGGAAAAUUCUUUCUGUAAUCUCUUUCUUCUACAAACUUGUCAGAUUGUAAUUUGCAUACAGGAAACAUAAUUUAUCUGCUCAUUAACCCAGUGAGGUUGUUAGGGCCCCAUGUCUGGAGGUGUUUAAGGCCAGGCUGGAUGAGUCUGUGUGCAGCCUGCUCUAGGGUAGGGUGUCCCUGCCCAUGGCCAGGGGUGUUGGAACUGGAUGAUCCUUGUGGUCCCUUCCAACCCUGACAGAUUCUAUGAUUAACAGUUUUCUUUUUAAAGGUAACAAUCAGAACUAGGAGAAAAUAUGAACUGCAAGGAACCUGCUGCACUUGGAAUUAAGAAUAUCUCCAUAAACAGUGCUAGAGAAGCUCCACUUUAUUUUUCCAGUUGGUAAACUCAGAUUGUUUCAUAACAGGUGUAGCAAUAUGUGUACUUCUCACUGUGUUCUAUACUAAGAUUAGGUAUUGCAAGUCACAUGGCUUAUUACAAUUCUUUUGUUCAGUUCUAGCUAUGGAAGUCAGAAUUUAUUCUGUGUUUUAAAAUCAUUUUAAGUUACUCCACUCUGGUGAGACUCCACCUGGAGUAAUGUGUACAGAUCUGGAGACCCCAGUGCAAGAAGGAUGGGGACCUGCUGGAGUGUGUCCAGCGAAGAGCCACAGGGAUGAUCAGAGGGCUGCAGCCCAGAACUGGACAUAGGACUCAAGGUGUGGCCUGACCAGUGCUGAGUACAGGGGCAGAAUAACCUCCCUUCUCCUACUGGCCACACUGUUCCUGGUCCAGGCAUCCUGUUCACACUGCUGGCUCAUAUUCAGCUGCUAUCUACCAGUAGGCCCAGGUCCCUUUCUGCCUGGCUGCUCUCAGCCACUCUGUCCCCAGCCUGUAAUGCUGCUUGGGGUUGUUGUGGCCAAAGUGUAGAACCUUGCAGUUGGCCUUGUUAAAUCUCAUCCCUUUGGCCUCCGACCACCCAUCCAGCCUGGCAAGAUCCCUCUGCAGGGCUCUCCUGCCCUCCAAAGAUGGACAUUUGCCUCCUAGCUUGGUGUUAUCUGCAAACUUAUUGAUGCUGGACUCAGCCCCCUCAUCCAGAUCAUCAAUAAAGAUGCUGAACUAACCAUU